GCGGUGAUGACAAUCCUUACCAAGCACGCGUUAGACUGCUGAUCCGGGUGAUGCGAAUCCGAGUCUGAGC
ensembl:snoRNA Snord104 small nucleolar RNA, C/D box 104